rnacentral:rRNA from 1 species
GAUGAACGCUAGCGGCAGGCCUAAUACAUGCAAGUCGAACGGAGUGGCGCACGGGUGCGUAACGCGUAGCCAACCUACCCGAAUCUGGGGGAUAGCCCGCCGAAAGGCGGAUUAAUACCGCAUAGAUUCGGAUGGGGCUGCGUGCCAUUAGCUGGUUGGGGGGGUAACGGCCCACCAAGGCGACGAUGGCUAGGGGAGCUGAGAGGCUGGUCCCCCACACGGGCACUGAGAUACGGGCCCGACUCCUACGGGAGGCAGCAGUAGGGAAUAUUGGGCAAUGGCCGAGAGGCUGACCCAGCCAUGCCGCGUGCAGGACGAAGGCUUCUGAGUCGUAAACUGCUUUUGCCCGGGAAGCGGUACCGGGUGAAUAAGCACCGGCUAACUCCGUGCCAGCAGCCGCGGUAAUACGGAGGGUGCAAGCGUUGUCCGGAUUUAUUGGGUUUAAAGGGUGCGUAGGCGGUUUAUUAAGUCCGGGGUGAAAGCCCACUGCUCAACAGUGGAACUGCCCUGGAAACUGGCGAACUUGAGUACAGACGAGGGCGGCGGAAUGGAUGCUGUAACGGUGAAAUGCAUAGAUAGUAUCCAGAACCCCGAUUGCGAAGGCAGCUGCCUAGGCUGUAACUGACGCUGAGGCACGAAAGCGUGGGGAGCGAACAGGAUUAGAUACCCUGGUAGUCCACGCCGUAAACGAUGGAUACCCGCUGGUGGCCACUGGCUUAGCGAAAGCGUUAAGUAUCCCACCUGGGGAGUACGCCCGCAAGGGUGAAACUCAAAAGAAUUGACGGGGGCCCGCACAAGUGGUGGAGCAUGUGGUUUAAUUCGAUGAUACGCGAGGAACCUUACCUAGGCUAGAAUGCAAGGUGCUGCAUGGCCGUCGUCAGCUCGUGCCGUGAGGUGUUGGGUUAAGUCCCGCAACGAGCGCAACCCCUAUGUUUAGUUGCGACUCUAGACAGACUGCCUGCGCAAGCAAGAGGAAGGCGGGGACGACGUCAGGUCAUCAUGGCCCUUACGCCUAGGGCUACACACGUGCUACAAUGGGCGGUACAGCGGGUUGCCAACCAGCGAUGGUGCGCCAAUCCCGAAAAGCCGUUCUCAGUUCGGAUCGGAGUCUGCAACUCGACUCCGUGAAGCUGGAAUCACUAGUAAUCGCGCAUCAGCAUGGCGCGGUGAAUACGUUCCCGGGCCUUGUACACACCGCCCGUC